ACGAACGCUGGCGGCGUGCUUCACACAUGCCAGUCGCACUGUGAACGAGGGAGCUUGCUCCCUCCGGAUCAGUGGCGAACGGGUGAGUAACACGUGAGCAAUCUGCCCCGAACUCUGGGAUAAGCGUUGGAAACGACGUCUAAUACCGGAUACGACGCGGGAGAGCAUCCUCUCCGCGUGGAAAGAACUUCGGUUCGGGAUGAGCUCGCGGCCUAUCAGCUUGUUGGUGAGGUAACGGCUCACCAAGGCGACGACGGGUAGCCGGCCUGAGAGGGUGACCGGCCACACUGGGACUGAGACACGGCCCAGACUCCUACGGGAGGCAGCAGUGGGGAAUAUUGCACAAUGGGCGCAAGCCUGAUGCAGCAACGCCGCGUGAGGGACGACGGCCUUCGGGUUGUAAACCUCUUUUAGCAGGGAAGAAGCGAAAGUGACGGUACCUGCAGAAAAAGCACCGGCUAACUACGUG
rnacentral:rRNA from 1 species